rnacentral:rRNA from 1 species
GAUGAACGCUAGCGAUAGGCCUAACACAUGCAAGUCGAGGGGCAUCACAUGAAGUAGCAAUACGGAUGGUGGCGACCGGCGCACGGGUGAGUAACACGUAUGCAACCUGCCUUCAACAAGGGGGAUAACCCGUUGAAAGACGGACUAAUACCCUAUAACACAGGGGUCCCGCAUGGGGAUAUUUGUUAAAGGACAACCGGUUGAAGAUGGGCAUGCGUUCCAUUAGCUAGUUGGCGGGGUAAGGCCCACCAAGGCAACGAUGGAUAGGGGAACUGAGAGGUUUAUCCCCCAACUGGUACUGAGACACGGACCAGACUCCUACGGGAGGCAGCAGUGAGGAAUAUUGGUCAAUGGACGCAAGUCUGAACCAGCCACGUCGCGUGAAGGAAGAAUGUCCUAUGGAUUGUAAACUGCUUUUGCAGGGGAAUAAAGUGAGCCACGUGUGGUUUUUUGUAUGUACUCUGCGAAUAAGGAUCGGCUAACUCCGUGCCAGCAGCCGCGGU